AGGACGAACGCUGGCGGCGUGCUUCACACAUGCAAGUCGAACGGGGCUCAUUCGGUGGUAACACCGGAGAAGGCCUAGUGGCGAACGGGUGCGUAACACGUGAAGAACCUGCCCCGAAGACUGGGAUAACAGCGGGAAACCGCUGCUAAUACCGGAUGACCCCACCAGGCCGCAUGGCCAGGUGAGGAAAUGGGCCUACCGCUUCGGGAGGGCUUCGCGGCCUAUCAGCUUGUUGGUGGGGUAACGGCCUACCAAGGCUACGACGGGUAGCUGGUCUGAGAGGACGACCAGCCACACUGGGACUGAGACACGGCCCAGACUCCUACGGAAGGCAGCAGUGGGGAAUCUUGCGCAAUGGGCGAAAGCCUGACGCAGCAACGCCGCGUGAGGGAUGAAGGUCUUCGGGUUGUAAACCUCUUUCGAGCAGGGACGAUUGUGACGGUACCUGCAGAGAAGCUCCGGCCAACUACGCGCCAGCAGCCGCGGU
rnacentral:rRNA from 1 species